GCCUUUGUGGUCUAACAGUUAGGACUCCGGGUUUUUAUCCAAGUGACCAGGGUUCGAUUCCCUGUUGAGGAA
rnacentral:tRNA from 1 species